rnacentral:rRNA from 1 species
GGGGAAUUUUGGACAAUGGGGGAAACCCUGAUCCAGCCAUCCCGCGUGUGCGAUGAAGGCCUUCGGGUUGUAAAGCACUUUUGUCAGGAAAGAAAUCGCCCGGGAUAAUACCUCGGGUGGAUGACGGUACCUGAAGAAUAAGCACCGGCUAACUACGUGCCAGCAGCCGCGGUAAUACGUAGGGUGCAAGCGUUAAUCGGAAUUACUGGGCGUAAAGCGUGCGCAGGCGGUUCGGAAAGAAAGAUGUGAAAUCCCAGGGCUUAACCUUGGAACUGCAUUUUUAACUACCGGGCUAGAGUGUGUCAGAGGGGGGUGGAAUUCCGCGUGUAGCAGUGAAAUGCGUAGAUAUGCGGAGGAACACCGAUGGCGAAGGCAGCCCCCUGGGAUAACACUGACGCUCAUGCACGAAAGCGUGGGGAGCAAAC